AUUGAACGCUGGCGGCAUGCUUUACACAUGCAAGUCGAACGGUAACAGGCCGCAAGGUGCUGACGAGUGGCGAACGGGUGAGUAAUGCAUCGGAACGUGCCCAGAGGUGGGGGAUAACGCAGCGAAAGCUGUGCUAAUACCGCAUAUUAUCUGAGGAUGAAAGCGGGGGACUAAGCAGCAAUGUUGGCCUCGCGCCUUUGGAGCGGCCGAUGUCAGAUUAGGUAGUUGGUGGGGUAAAGGCCUACCAAGCCGACGAUCUGUAGCUGGUCUGAGAGGACGACCAGCCACACUGGGACUGAGACACGGCCCAGACUCCUACGGGAGGCAGCAGUGGGAAUUUUGGACAAUGGGCGCAAGCCUGAUCCAGCAAUGCCGCGUGCAGGAAGAAGGCCUUCGGGUUGUAAACUGUCUUUGUACGGAACGAAAGGCUCUGGUUAAUACCUGGGGCUCAUGACGGUACCGUAAGAAUAAGCACCGGCUAACUACGUG
rnacentral:rRNA from 1 species